rnacentral:rRNA from 1 species
GAUGAACGCUGGCGGCGUGCCUAAUACAUGCCAGUCGAGCGAACGGACGAGAAGCUUUCUUCUCUGAUGUUAGCGGCGGACGGGUGAGUAACACGUGUAUAACCUACCUAUAAUACUUGGAUAACUUCGUGAAACCGGAGCUAAUACCGUCUCAUAUUUUGAACCGCAUGGUUCAAAAGUGAAAUACGGUCUUUCUGUCUCUUAUAGAUGUAUCCGCGCUUCAUUAGCUAGUUGGUAAGUUAAAGGCUUACCAAGGCAACGAUGCAUAGCGGACCUGAGAGGGAGAAAGGCAAAACGGGAAAGGAGACACGGACCAGAAUACUAAGGGAGGCAGAAGAAGGGAAUAUUGCGAAACGGGCGAAAGCAUGACGGAGCAAAGACGCGUGAGUGAUGAAGGUCUGAGGAUCGGAAAACUCUGUUAUGAGGGAAGAAAAUAUGUGUAAGUAAAUGUGCACAUAUUGACGGUACCUAAUAAGAAAGCAACGGCUAACUACGUG